UUCUAGCCUUUUUUGGAAACAGGGUCUUACAUAUGCCAGGCUGGCGUCAAAAUCACGGUGGAGCUGAGACUGCCCUUGUACUUCUGAUCCUACCACCUCCACCUUCCCAUUGCCGGGAUUGGCGAGCUACCACCACGUCCAGUAGUAUCUGCGGUGCUGAGAACAGAACCAAGAGCUGACGACUGUGAGCAAGAGCUGGGCCAGCUGAGCCCGACCCACGAGCACAAGUCUCUAAGCUUUGACUGUCACUAUUCUGAAGAAUAAGGGGGACCAGAACGUGGCACCUGAGAGCACAAAGAUGCCGCCCACACAACUAUCCAGACUCAGGAUGUGGGGACUUCUGCGGAAACUGUAAGGAAAACAAGUUCUGCGAACAAGUGUAACAGAUUGCUGUUGGGGCGACUUAACUUCAGCAGAAGCGGGAGGUAGAGCUGCCCAUACCCUCAGGCAUGCAGGAGACCGUGGACACCAGAGGAGUCCAUUAGAGCUGGAGCUGAGCAGUGGCAGGCAGUUGUGAGUCACCCAGUAUGGGUGGUGGGACCCGAACUCAGUCCUCCGCAAGAGCAGCAAGCGUGUUUGGCUUCGAGCUCUCCCUCUGGCCCUCAUGCCUCUUCUUAGAUGUAGGCGUCUCUUGCACUGACGGUGGGGCCUGUGCACUGUGCUGCCCGCCGAGCUGCUGGCCCUUGUGUGGCGUGGGACACUUGAGUGCGUGAUUCUUUUAAACGGAAGGAGCUCUAUUUGCACAGCACAGCUCUUCCACUGCUAGUGGGUUCUGUCUGUGCUAAGAAACAAGCAGCACUGCUGGAGCAUAGCCACAGGCAGGCAUGCUUCUCAGCAUGCUGCAGACCCUGCAUUGGUCCCCAGUGCUGGUUGGGAGGAGGAGCAGAAAGCACUGUCUCUGUCAUGACCCCUGCCCUCCAGGUCUUUCUUGGAUCCUGGCUGCAGAAUACAGAAAGUCACUUUGGUCCAGUUUGAGGAAGCAGAAACAACCAAGGGCAUGAAAUCAGCUCCCCCUCUGGAGUAAAUGAUACAUUUACACUUAAUGGACACCCAUUUUACCCUUUGCCGUCCUGAAUCUGCCUCAUUUGGUACACUUGGCAAACUGGCUCACUACUUUUCCACCUCACAGCAGCGAGCAUGGCCGCACAAAGUUCCUGCGAUUUUAUUUCCUCCACUCAACAUACCAGCUGGGCUGAGGCUGCGUUUGUCUGUCGGUGUUCCUGCCAAACUGGCGAGGUGCCAAUUGCCCUAGGGUGGCCUAGGUGUGCAGCCUUGUUCUGGAUCACCUGACGGAGGACAGGUCAGCCUGAGCUGGAUGAAGUUCUGUUGUUUAUGUCUGUGUGGCUCAAGAGGAAAAGGGACCAGAUAAGAAGUGGGGCUUGGGGAGAGAAGCCCAUGGGAGGUGACCACAGUGCUCACCCAGUCACUUGGUGACCUGGUCCUUUACUGAGUUGUGUAUGUGUCUCUCUAGCCUCCUUUGAUGGAAGUUUCCUUAUCUUGUGUUCCAUUACACAGGACUCUGCUGCUAGGUGACUAAUCUGAUAUAGACAGCAAACGACAGCGAAGACUCAGAACAUCAGUUUCCUCACUGAGCAAGUGAGGACAAAAUGGCCUACCUUGAGCCAGGUGUGGUGACACGUACCUUUAAUCCCAGCACUUGGGAGGCAGAUUUCUGUCAUUUCGAGCUCUAUAGAACAGGUUCAGGGACAGUCAAGAUUAUUACACAGAGAAACUGUGCCUCGAAAAUCAAAAAUAAAAACAAAAAAGGCCAGUCUGGAAGUGGGGGGUUAGAGAUUAGUAAUAAAAAUUAACGUCAACAAUACUUAUUUCCUCCUAAUAAACACAUUUUUCAGUUUAGUCUAUGGAUAUCAAUGAAACUGACUUGUCUUCUGGGUCAUUUGACAUGUGUCAGAAUGCAGGGAUACACAGACUCUUAGUGACCCUCAAAUCAUAGAGCAGAGUUCCAUGUCCUUUCAAAUAGUAACGUGUGAUUAUGUGAAUGGAUGGUGUGUGUGUGGAUGUGUGUGCCACGGCACACGUGAGAAGUCAGAGGACAGCCUGUGAAGCUAGUCCCCCUUAGACCUUCCAUGGGUUCCAGGUACCGGACUCGGGGUGUGCAUGGCAAGUGUCUUUAUCCCGAGUCAUCUUGCCGUCUCUGUAUUAUUUUUAAAAAUAUCACCAAAUUUAUCCUGUUUAUAAUUCAGAUUUGAGAAGAAAGGAUAAACCAUUCUCAUAUUCAAGGGUAAGAAUCUAUCGAACUUCAGGGACCACAGAGAUCUAUAGGGACCCACGGAGACCCACAGAGCCCACAGAGAUCCACAGUCAAAUAUGGGGGAGACGAACUCGGGGAAUCCUGCAGAAGAGAGGGAGGAGGACUCCGUAGGAGCCAAAGGAGUCAAGAAAACCCACAGAAUCAACUAAUCUGGUUCAUAGGUGUUCACAGAGUCUGAACCAACAACCAGGGAGCCUGCCUGGGGCUGAUGUAGGCCCUUAACAUGUAUGUGACGGUUGUGGUCUACUUGCUGUCCCUGAUGCUUUGGCAGGCUUUGGGGACCCUAUUCCUCACACUGGAUUGCCUUGUCCUCUUAAUACAAGGGGAGGAGCUUAGUCUUACUGCAACUUGAUAUGCCAUGCUUUGUUGAUGUUCAUGGGAAGCCUGGCUUUUUCUGAACAGAAACAGAGGAAUGGAUUAGGGGAGGGGGUGGAGGGGCACAGAGUGUGUAUGUGUGGAGGAGUGGGGAGAGGAGAGUUGAGGGGGGGACUGUGGCCAGGAUGUAAAAUAAAUUAAAUUUAAAAAAUGUAUCAAACGGCAGGAUCUUGAGAACAACUUUUUGCCAAUGUCCUGAUCUGUAGAAAAGGUAAUAAUAGCUGCAGAGUCAUAGGAUUGUCAUAGCAAUUAAAUUUGUUACGUUCGUGAAGUGCUCAGAAUAGAACUUAGCAGAAGGAAACACCAUAUAUGUGUUAACAAUUAAUAUUACUUUUUUAAUUUAUGGUUUCUUAAACUUUAAGUUGUAAUAUGUCAGCAACGAAUGGAAAUGCAAAGAUGGAUUUCUUCCAAAACAAAACAAAACACCCACAGAGCCUUGAGAAGUCAGGCAUAGUGGUCUGCACUUGUAAUUCCAGUUCCUGGGAGGCAGAGGCAAAAGGGUUAUUUUAAGUUCCAGGCCAGCCUGAUCUACAUACCAAGUUGCCUUCCAGCUGGGGUACCACAGGGAGACACUGUCAAAAAUUUUAACUUUAAAUUUUUUAAAAAUGAUUUAUUUACUUUUGUUUUAUGUGCAUUUUUUUUUGUUGUUUGUUUUUUGCCUGAAUGUAUGUCUGUGUGAGGGUGUUAGAUCCUCCUGGAGUUACAAGCAGUUGUAAGCUACCAUGUGGUUGCUGGGAAUUGAAUCCAGGUCCUCUGGAAGAACAGCCAAAGUUCUUAACCACUGAGCCAUCUCUCCAGCCCAUUUUAAUUUUUAAUGAAAAUCACUUUAUUGUAAAAACUUUCAAAUAAAAUAUCACAUACCUAGAUUAACUUAGCCCUUCAAACAAGCACUUAUUUGAAUCCAAGAUUUCUACAUCCCAGUAAACAUCUACACAGUUAGAAAAACCGCGAAAAGAAGCACAAAGAAGUGCAUUGUAACUAAUAAGAAGACUCGUCACUGAGGGCUGUCGUGGUGGUUUGAAAGAAAAUGGCCCCAGAGGAAGUGGCACUAUUGGGAGGUGUGGCUUUGUUGGAGGACGUGGGUCACUGUGGGGUCGACUUUGAGGUCCUCUAUGCUCUCGGUACACUCAGCGUGGCACACAGUUGCUUCUGCUGCCUGCAGAUCAAGAAGCAGAACUCUCAUCUCCUUCCCCAGGCACCAAGUCUGUCUGCAUGCUGCCAUGUCACCUGCCAUGACAAUAGUGGACUAAACCUCUAAAAUGUAAGCCAUCCCAACUAAAUGUUUUUCUGUAUGAGUUUCUGUCGUCAUGGUGUCUCUUUACAGCAAUAGAAAACCUAAGAAGCUAUGAAAUACGAGCCCAACCCAUGAGUUUCAAUAUUUGUCUUUUUGCCUAUUACGAAUCAGUCCUUAUUAUUUAUUUGAAUUCCACCAAGAAGAGAGGGAACGAGAGACAGAAGCUGCCCUGGUGCUGGUCAAGUGCCUACGGUUCUAACUCCGGUUCUGCUCCCCAGGAGGGACGAGUUUCCAGGUGAUGACCUAAACUCACAGGGAUCUCAGGGUCCCUCGGUCAACCUUGCCUAAGCAGUGAGCCCUGGGACAAUAAAGAAACCAUGUUUCAAAAAACAAGGCGACCGGCAUCUGACGAAGGACACCUGAGGUUGAUCUCAGAUAUAUGUUCGUGCACACACACAAG